CUAGUUAAUGUGAACUGACAACUUCUUCAAGCAGGACUAAGUUGGAUGUCCCUGGCGAGUGAGCAGAUGUCAGUGAGUUCAAGUGUUUGCAGACAAAGUUCAGUCAAAGUUCCAGUAUCGGAUUAUGUUUCUUCUGAAGUUGAUGAAGUAGUCUUGACUGAAGUCUCCAUCCGAGAUGAUCUACCAGCAAAGAAUGAGACCAUACUUGUAUCGAGGCAUUCUCUUUGAUGUCGAGGCUAACACUGAUGAGAGGAAGGAUUUGAUGGGCUGACCUGUUUUGUACUCCAGACACUCGGCAACCACCCGAUGACGAAGGACUUGCUCAAGUUUAGCCAUGUACUCA